UUUUUAAUGUUCUUGACUUUAAACUAAAUAAAAUGAACAAUUAAAGUUUUAUGUUAAUUGAAUAUUUGAAUAAAUGAUUACAAAUAAAUAACAAUUUUGUUUAUAAUGUAUGAGUAUAAUAUUUUGGGUAAGAAAGGCACUGUCUUUAUUUUGCGCCACAUUAUUUCUUUUUUAAUGUUCUUGACAUUAAACUAAUUAAAGUGAACAAUUAAGGUUUUAAUUUAAUUUAAUAUUUGAAUAAAUGA
rnacentral:lncRNA from 1 species